UACGUAGGGUGCAAGCGUUGUCCGGAAUUAUUGGGCGUAAAGAGCUCGUAGGCGGUCUGUCGCGUCUGCUGUGAAAACUCAGGGCUUAACCCUGAGCUUGCAGUGGGUACGGGCAGACUAGAGUGCGGUAGGGGAGACUGGAAUUCCUGGUGUAGCGGUGAAACGCGCAGAUAUCAGGAGGAACACCGGUGGCGAAGGCGGGUCUCUGGGCCGUAACUGACGCUGAGGAGCGAAAGCAUGGGGAGCGAACAGG
rnacentral:rRNA from 1 species